GAUGAACGCUGGCGGCGUGCCUAAUACAUGCAAGUCGAGCGAACAGACGAGGAGCUUGCUCCUCUGACGUUAGCGGCGGACGGGUGAGUAACACGUGGAUAACCUACCUAUAAGACUGGGAUAACUUCGGGAAACCGGAGCUAAUACCGGAUAAUAUAUUGAACCGCAUGGUUCAAUAGUGAAAGACGGUUUUGCUGUCACUUAUAGAUGGAUCCGCGCCGCAUUAGCUAGUUGGUAAGGUAACGGCUUACCAAGGCAACGAUGCGUAGCCGACCUGAGAGGGUGAUCGGCUACACUGGAACUGAGACACGGUCCAGACUCCUACGGGAGGCAGCAGUAGGGAAUCUUCCGCAAUGGGCCAAAACCUGACGGAGCAACGCCGCGUGAGUGAUGAAGGUCUUCGGAUCGUAAAACUCUGUUAUUAGGGAAGAACAAAUGUGUAAGUAACUAUGCACGUCUUGACGGUACCUAAUCAGAAAGCCACGGCUAACUACGUG
rnacentral:rRNA from 1 species